rnacentral:lncRNA from 1 species
GGGAACAGUAUACCUGGGUAAACCUUCCCCAAGAGUUCCUGAGCCAAGUGCUGCUCAGGACUGCUGUCCUUGUCCAUGGCAGAGGGCUUAGUCUGGGUCACCCCAAGGGCUGGAGACAUCCCCUAGAGGUGACUUGAAGAAGAAAGUCCUUUACAAAAUCUGUUGUACUGCCAGUGGUAAUGGAAGAAGUGUCAGGAUGCCGGGUGAAGUGAUUGUUGCUCUGAACCAAAGAAAAGAAACAAGUAUGAAGUCGUAUUGUUCAUUCAAACAUAUAUAAGGACAACAAGAAGGAGUGGACAAAAUUUGGAUUGUGUACUUUACUCUUAUUUGCAUCUUGAAUAUUAUAUAAAUUGUUUUUUCUAGUCU